CAAGCCAAUGAAUAGCUCCAUUAAAGAACAAACCUACUCCGGAGGUGUCGUCAUUUGUGUCGAGAUAUCAAUCAAUAAUACUUACAAUAGGAUUGGCCAAAAGUGCUCCUGUUCAUUGCAAAUUUUGAGUUUUUCGCUACUGUUCACCAUUCCAAAUCCCCUUCCAUGUCGAUUCCCUUUUUCUCGUUUCUUUCAUUCCUUUUCCUGUUUUGUUUGGAUCCAUUUAAUGCCUUUUCUAUUCUGACAGU
rnacentral:lncRNA from 1 species